UGACCGCUGGCGGCGUGCCUAAUACAUGCAAGUCGCGCGAACGGACGCGAAGCUUGCUUCUCUGAUGUUAGCGGCGGACGGGUGAGUAACACGUGGAUAACCUACCUAUAAGACUGGGAUAACUUCGGGAAACCGUAGCUAAUACCGGAUAAUAUUUUGAACCGCAUGGUUCAAAAGUGAAAGACGGUCUUGCUGUCACUUAUAGAUGGAUCCGCGCUGCAUUAGCUAGUUGGUAAGGUAACGGCUUACCAAGGCAACGAUGCAUAGCCGACCUGAGAGGGUGAUCGGCCACACUGGAACUGAGACACGGUCCAGACUCCUACGGGAGGCAGCAGUAGGGAAUCUUCCGCAAUGGGCGAAGGCCUGACGGAGCAACGCCGCGUGAGUGAUGAAGGUCUUCGGAUCGUAAAACUCUGUUAUUAGGGAAGAACAUAUGUGUAAGUAACUGUGCACAUCUUGACGGUACCUAAUCAGAAAGCCACGGCUAACUACGUG
rnacentral:rRNA from 1 species